rnacentral:lncRNA from 1 species
AGUCACUACAAGAACUAUAGCAAAAAGAAUGAAAGAGCAUAAAGAGGAUAUCUCGCACGCUAAGCUUACAACAGCCCUAGCAUGUGAGGCAUAUAGUAGGAAUAUCACUGUAAAAUGGGACGACGUUAAAUGCAUUGGACAGCUGAGGAGGGGUGUGCAGCCGAAUGUGGUGGAGUCGGUGGAGGUCUUAAGGAGAGCACGGAGGGAGGGGUUAAUUAGUGACAGGUUGGCUUGGGAACCAUCAAAGGCAUGGAGUUGUCUGCUUAAUAGAAGAAGGGUUGAUUGAGGGGGAGACUGUGUAACGGAGUUGCAAACUUCUAGCUUGCAACAGGUUU